rnacentral:rRNA from 1 species
AUUGAACGCUGGCGGCAUGCUUUACACAUGCAAGUCGAACGGCAGCAUAGGGGGCAACCCUGGGUGGCGAGUGGCGAACGGGUGAGUAACAUAUCGGAACGUACCUUAUAGAGGGGAUAACGCCGCGAAAGCGGGGCUAAUACCGCAUAAGCUCUGAGGAGGAAAGUGGGGGAUUCGAGAGGACCUCACGCUAUAAGAUCGGCCGAUAUCUGAUUAGCUAGUUGGUGAGGUAAAGGCUCACCAAGGCGAUGAUCAGUAGCUGGUCUGAGAGGACGACCAGCCACACUGGAACUGAGACACGGUCCAGACUCCUACGGGAGGCAGCAGUGGGGAAUUUUGGACAAUGGGGGCAACCCUGAUCCAGCAAUGCCGCGUGAGUGAAGAAGGCC